rnacentral:rRNA from 1 species
CCUACGGGCGGCUGCAGUGGGGAAUAUUGCACAAUGGGCGCAAGCCUGAUGCAGCCAUGCCGCGUGUGUGAAGAAGGCCUUCGGGUUGUAAAGCACUUUCAGCGGGGAGGAAGGCGGUGAGGUUAAUAACCUCAUCGAUUGACGUUACCCGCAGAAGAAGCACCGGCUAACUCCGUGCCAGCACCGCGGUAAUACGGAGGGUGCAAGCGUUAAUCGGAAUUACUGGGCGUAAAGCGCACGCAGGCGGUCUGUCAAGUCGGAUGUGAAAUCCCCGGGCUCAACCUGGGAACUGCAUUCGAAACUGGCAGGCUAGAGUCUUGUAGAGGGGGGUAGAAUUCCAGGUGUAGCGGUGAAAUGCGUAGAGAUCUGGAGGAAUACCGGUGGCGAAGGCGGCCCCCUGGACAAAGACUGACGCUCAGGUGCGAAAGCGUGGGGAGCAAACAGGAUUAGAUACCCCGGUAGUC